rnacentral:rRNA from 1 species
UUGGAGGGCAAGUCUGGUGCCAGCAGCCGCGGUAAUUCCAGCUCCAAUAGCGUAUAUUAAAGUUGUUGCAGUUAAAAAGCUCGUAGUUGAAUUUCGGGAUUGACGUGAUGGUCAUGCCUUAAGGGGUAUGAACUGUCACAGUUGAUUUCUCACCUUCUGGAGAAACUUGAUGUCCUUUAUUGGGUGUCUUGCGGAUCCAGGACCUUUACCUUGAAAAAAUUAGAGUGUUUAAAGCAGGCUAUUUUUGCUCGAAUACAUUAGCAUGG